GUGUCUAUAGCCUAGUUGGUAAAGGCAGCACUCUAGUAUGUGUCUUAGCAUUUCUGAGGCUGUGAGUUUGAACCUCACCAGGCACA